CAGUUAUAUCACGUUGAAACACCAGUACUCGUACGACCAUCAAAGUUAAGCAACGUCGAGCCUGGUCAGUACCUCUAUAGGUAACCGCUUGGGAAUAUCAGGUGCU